UUCAGUAUAUCAACUCUCAGGAUGGAGUUCAAUAUUUAAUCCCUCAACAGCUUGUUAUGGAAUCUCAAGGCAACCAAAUUCAGAUGAAUCAUGGACAAAUCGCUCAAGACGAAUAUGAAAAUGAUGAUUCUGCAGAAACAGCAGGUUGAACGUAAAGCAAAACACACAAAAAAAGCAUGUUUAAGUCAUUUCUGUGUCAAUUUCUUGAUGGAUAGAGACAUUAUGUUCUCAUAAUCGCCAAACUUGUAUGACCUUUAACCAUUUUCCCAAUAAAGUUGUGUUCAUUUGAA